UCCCUGGGCAGUCCAGUGGCUAAGAUUCUGCAUUCCCAAUGCAGGGGGCCCAGGUUCGAUCCCUGGUCAGGGAA
rfam:TPA: Bos taurus chromosome 15, whole genome shotgun sequence.